UAUUCAUACGAGGGAAUUUGGCGAAUGUUUCAGUACGGAUUCGACCUUUCCCGAUGAGACAGGUUUUCAUGAAAUCCUUCCAAAUCUUAGAUUUUAGAUUAAAAUCGAAUAAAUUUACGGAAACCUUCUCCCGGCACCUCCCAUUCAAGGGCGCUUCGGUGUAAACAUAUUUGUUUUUUUUUUCAUUUGUGUUGAAGUCAUGUUAAACUUUCCAUAGCAGUUUUGAUCAAUUGCCCUCGAAGACCAUUGUGGAUUGCAUUUUCACACGAAGGUAAUUUCGGGAAUAAUUAAUUAAAAGUCACCUAAACAAAACAAGAAUAAUUGGCGUCUUGCAAACCUUUACCACCAUAAAUAUUUAUGAUACUUAAACUUAAUUAGACAAUAUUCAUUUCGUCAGAGGACGACAUAUAAGGUAGCAAAUGCGUCCAUGGGUUGCACUGUGGUGUUACUUCGGUACUGAGCAAAAAUGAAAUACAUCUUCGUUAGCCUCCUGGCUUUGGCGCACUUCUACCAUGCGGUUGCACAGGAGCAGCCUUGUGAUUCCUAUUACGGCGGAGGCGAACAAUGCGACUGCGGACCACUUGCUGCAGUGUUUUGGGUUGGGUCGACUCAAGUUUGCGAAUUCAGAUGCAGAGAUCGAUAUGGCAGAAUGUUCUCAUGCGAAGAAGUGGGAAGGCUUUAGAUACAAUUCCGCAUCGAUCGAUCGUCAAAAGCGCAACGAUAAUAUUAUUUAAAUAAAAAAUACUAUAUUCUAGAAAA